GCUCCUCCGCUCCGCCCGGGCUCCGGCCACGCCUCGGGGUGUUCCCGCGGGCUGAGCCGGGCAGCGGGACGCGCUGAGGUGUCCUCAGGGCCCCAAGCCUCCGGCAGGCUCUUUCUCAGCCGGUGGCAGCCCGUGGGAAGCGAGGGGUCCCUGCACCCGCUUCCCUCAGCCGCUCUUGGGCGAGGGGCACGGGCUCCGCCGUGGGCGUCCGGGCGCUCGUCACUGGGGAGCGGAAACGUUAAGGGGAAAAAAAAGAGAUAAUAUAGGGCAUACCUGAAGUUCGCUGGCCCUCUUGUACAAAUCCAGUGUGUCCAUCGUCAUUUUGAGGACUUCAAUGUGCGCUUGCAGUAUGUGGAUGAGGAAGGGAGAAAAAUGACUAAAACUUGAAGUCAGACUCUGGCAUGCUUGAAUACCAUAUGCCUGCACUAUUGAGAGACUGGAGCAGAGUAUCUGGAGAAAGAUGAGAGAGUGUGGGUGGCAAUAGAAAAAACAACCACGACUUCUGUUCCUCCCAAUAGAUAACUUCUGGAAUUUAUUAUGGUUGAAUGAAUCAACUGAAGACAACUCAUGGGAAUAGGAGAGGUCUGGACGGUCAGUUCCGGGGAACAGUUCCAAAUUCUUUUGUUGCUUUUGCUUACCAUACUUUUGCUCUGAUCAGGUAGAUAGAAAAAUUGACUCAGUUUGAUGUCAUGGUAGAUUAUUUAGUAUCAACGUUACUUCAGUCAACUAAACACUGUCAGAAAUGCACACAGAUCUGCAUGUACAUCAGAGAAACUAAAGCCCAGCAUAAUCAUUCCAGUGGUAUGCAUUCUAGAGAAGGCAAUAUACAAUUAAAUGAUUAAAUGAAAUAGAGGGAGUUAGACAACUGAGUUUCAUCUAAUCUCUUCCAUUUCCCCAAAACUGUUUAUUAUUCACCAACACACAUGCAAUGGAUGUGUUCCUCUUCUGAGUGAGAAGACAUAGAAAUUAACUUUGUAAUAAAAAAAAAAAAAUAUAUUUAUCACUUCUUGAAAUAACAAUUUUAUUCUGUAAAAUGCACAACUCCCUGCCUCUCCCUUUGCAAUACACUUUCCAAAUACACUUUGGGCUAAUUUUGGUCUCUGCAAUUGUAUGCAUCUAUGUGUUAGUGGCACAGUAUGUUCUCUAUGUCCAGCAGCCUUGUGCCCUAUUCUUUCUUGAUUAUCCUUCAUCACAAA